CUUCACCAUCGAGUCUGAGGCUGAGGCUCAUCAGCAGCAGCUUCGCUUUGGCUCUGACGGCUGUCUGCGGAGCUUGAAGCCCUUACCGCCAGAUGGCGGGUUGGCGUCAGUGGAUGGAAU
rnacentral:miRNA from 1 species